rnacentral:rRNA from 1 species
UACGGGAGGCAGCAGUGGGGAAUAUUGGGCAAUGGGGGAAACCCUGACCCAGCAACGCCGCGUGAGGGAAGAAGGUUUUCGGAUCGUAAACCCCUGUCCUUGGUGGAGAGGAAGAGACGGUAGCCAAGGAGGAAGCCCCGGCUAACUACGUGCCAGCAGCCGCGGUAAU